CGCGCCUACGUCACGCUUCGAAGAAAAUGGCGGAAUUUCCAGAAUAAACCGUAGUGGCCAUGGGUUGUUGCUGUGGGUCACUCUAGCCGUGGUAAACGACAACAUCGCUAGCACGAUCGCCAGCGCUUGUGUGAACAUUGUGCUAAGGAACGGAAGAAGGUGUCCCGGUGCGUGUCUGCACAAUGGCUUAAUAUGUGGUUUGGUGCCGGUGUGCGUUGUGCGACCUUCGUUCAACGAUCGAUGCCGUGCCGUCGUGCGCGAGUGCGCUCAAACAGGGUCUAGCCACUGGUCUAGUCUCUCACUACUCCAGUGGCAUACAGCAACAGCUGCGUCAUGCCGAAGGAAGACGCCGAACCACCGCGCUGCGCCGUGUGCGGCCUGCAGCGCGCCCCGAACGCCGUGCUGCUCCCUUUCCCCGACCGGCGCCAGUCGAAGCUCUACGGCGCCUGGCUCGACUUCGUGCGCGGCUGCCCCGGCAAAAGCAACUGGCUGCCCGACAGUCGCACCGGCUUCGUCUGUACGCUGCACUUCACCUCCAAGUGGCUUAGGCGCACCACGGGCUCUGCCUACCACAACAAUUCACUGUUACUUAGAACCGCCACGGUGCCCACGCUCUACACGAGCCCGGAGAAACGCCGCCGCAUCGCCGAGGCCAGCAGCAGCGCUGCGCCCAUCCAGGCCGUUCGGGGGCCGGACUUACAAAGUACCUCGCUCGCUUCUACGAAUGCCAGCCACUGCCAGCUGAUAGAUAUGCACGACGCAAACCAGCUCUCAGUCAACAGUGGCCAAGGCUGCUCUCGCACCUGGGACAGGAAGCCAGACAGCUGCCUGACAGUGGGCGGCCACUUUGCCAACUCUGUGGACCUCCCCACGCUGCACGUGAAGCAGGAACAAAGUGGUUGUAUUUCCAUAGCUAGUGGCAGUAGCUGCACCAGCAGCAUCAGCACCACUGUUGUUGCCAAGACAUGCUCUGACCCUAAGAAAACUGUGAGCAGCACAAAAAGCCUAAGCACACACAGUCUUCCAGAUACAGGUCGUGUUCCCAUCUAUGCCAGUGUACGACGCACAGUUGGGGCUCGUCGUACUCUGUCUGAGGACACAGACGCAAUGGCAGGAGCAGCACAGAGUGUGGGUGCCACGGAAUUGGAGAGACCACGAUUGGGCAUCCUCACCAGGUUUGCACAGAACCUCGUGAAGAAUGUGAAGAACUCUGAGCAACAGGAAUCAAGCACAGGCCUCGCUGCAAGCAGAGACAACAUUCGUGAAUUGGACGCUGGAGGAGAAGACUUCACUGCUGCAUCUAAUGAGCCCUGGAGCGAGGAGGAGACCAAGCUGCUUCUAAAUUACUACACGACGUACAUACGCCAGGUUGGGCCCCACGACCGUUUCAAGACAAAAAAGCUCAUGUACGAGGAAAUUGCUCGAGAAAUGUCUUGCGUGUUAAAUGUUCAGCGGACCGGAGCGCAGUGUAAGUCUAGACUGUCCACUUUGCGAAAACAAAGGAGGAAGGCCGACAAAAAUUACGAAACAUCCGGCGAUGCCAGAUGUUCUGCUCCCUGUGGAGUGAAGUUUACCAUCGAUGAUGUCCUUGUGCCAGAGGUGCUCCUGGAGUGUGAAAAGUGACCUAAACCACUGGGACAGAAAACAUCUGCCUCUGUGACUGCAUCCACAAAAACCUGGGUGUGAAUCUAACCCAGGCCUCCGGGUGCAAGACGAGCGCGCUUCCCAGACGCCACGGCGGAUCCAUGGUUCUGGCUGACUAAAGGAGUGCCUAGUUGCCCAGACAACGGCUCUGGAUUUUGGCACAACGUCUCUUGAAGGUCGCCGACAUUGGAAGCUUAAAGGUUUUCAUGCUUAAAAAUCUUUCACAUUUACUACCAAACACCCCACUUAAAAUGCCCCGCCAAACAUGGUACUGCCUUUGCUAAAGCGGUCGUCUGAAGCAGUACAUUUCACUCGGAAGUGAAAUGGGUUUACUUUAGGAAAGCAGAAUGUUCAAUUUACUCAAAGCCUACUGUUCGUUGUCAAUUCUUUGCAACCAGUGUAAAGAUUAGACGAAUCCACAAACGUGUACACCGUGACUGAAGGAGAUAAAGCGGCUCGACCACCGUUUUCAUUUA